GCCUGGGUGGCUCAGUCGGUUGAGUGUCCGACUUCAGCUCAGGUCACGAUCUCACGGUUUGUGAGUUCGAGACCCGCCUAAGGCU
rnacentral:tRNA from 1 species